rnacentral:rRNA from 1 species
UCUGUAGACCCCCCCUGCGCUUUUGGUUUUUCCAAAAGGCACAACCUGUUGAGUGUCAUG